UACGUAGGUGGCAAGCGUUAUCCGGAAUUAUUGGGCGUAAAGCGCGCGCAGGCGGUCCUUUAAGUCUGAUGUGAAAGCCCACGGCUCAACCGUGGAGGGUCAUUGGAAACUGGGGGACUUGAGUGCAGAAGAGGAGAGCGGAAUUCCACGUGUAGCGGUGAAAUGCGUAGAGAUGUGGAGGAACACCAGUGGCGAAGGCGGCUCUCUGGUCUGUAACUGACGCUGAGGCGCGAAAAGCGUGGGG
rnacentral:rRNA from 1 species